rnacentral:lncRNA from 1 species
AACGAACCAUUCUGUGCAACAGCCUUGUGUGGAGUUGUGCUGUGACGGGUAGACCUGGACUGACGUAUCAGGAAGCACUUGAGUCAGAAAAAAAAGCAAGACAGAAUCUUCAGAGUUUUCCAGAACCACUAAUUAUUCCAGUUUUAUACUUGACCAGCCUUACCCAUCGUUCGCGCUUACAUGAAAUUUGUGAUGAUAUCUUUGCAUAUGUCAAGGAUCGAUAUUUUGUCGAAGAAACUGUGGAAGUCAUUAGGAACAAUGGUGCAAGAGGAAAACUGAAGAUACACAGGAGGAGAAAUACAAUGCAACGGGAUAAAAGAAGAGGUUACAGGCUGGAAGAGAACCCUUCUGACAUCAGAAUAUGAACAAUUAUGAAGGAUAUGGACAUUUGAUGUUGAGAAGGAAGUCAAAGAGCCUAAGUGAAGAUCUCUUC